UAUGACUCUGCUUUUUAUGCUCAUCAGCUUAGGCUAAGGGGCACUUUUUAGCUGCCAAGGAACAAAGUUUCCAGUUAUUUAAUGUUUUGCGUAUUUUUUUCUUUUCUAGAUGCUUCCCCUGAGGCAGCCCACUGUUGUGCUUGUCAUAUCACUUGGGUGCCUGUAGACAUCUGUAUGCUUCUCCAGCUGCGUGGGAGACACACUUCACCUUGUGGCUCCUCCUUUCAAAGGUUGCAUGUGCUGUAUGGAGGAACAGUUGACUUUGCUGAUAGAGAACGUCUCAUUGCACCCCCUUUCCACACCAUCUGUCUGACCUGGACCCAUUCCAAACACUACGGCUUUGCUGGCAGAAUGGUCUUCCUGCUACAGAAGUUUUGUAAUCUGCUAAUUGACAGGAAUAUAAGCUUCUUGGAGGCAGGGAUUUUUGCCUGACUGUUUGGGGCAGUAUCCCCAGCAGCUAGGAGAGCACCUGAUGCACAGUGGAUGCUCAGUGAUGAUCCAGCGUUGGUGAGAACACUACCCCGGGCCUGCAGAAUAUGCCACAGGAACAUCUCCUGCAAAAGCUACACCCUCAGGUCAGCGUCCCAUCUCUUUCAGAGAAUGGUAAGGAAUUGUCCCAUGCCGUCUCCCAUCUGGAAUUUGAUAUAUAGACUAUGGCUGGAUUUUGAGCCAGGCUUGGACAUUCUCUUUCUCCAGGAAUUCACAUCUUGAUGAGAAUCCUGGCAUUGAGACUGUGGAGCUCCAGUGACUUUGAGGGCUGGGCAGCAGCUUUGGGGGUGAGUAGCUUGCCUUCUAGUGCAUGCUUCUGCCCGUCUGAUGCACACACAGAUCACCUGGGGGGCUUGCUAACAUGCGGGUUCUGAUUCAGAAGAUGGGGUCGGCGGGGGCCGAGGUUCUGCAUUGCCAGUGAGCUCCCAGGUGGUGCUGAUGCUGAAUUAGGGUCACAUUAUAAAUAGCAAGCUUCCGGCACACACCUUCUCUACAGGCAGACAUCAGAAUGGAGCCCCCAAAUACUGUAUCAGACCCCCAAAGUGAGCAAUUAAAAAGGCCAGAGCAUGGACAGACAAAUACCACAUGAUCUCACUCACGU
rnacentral:lncRNA from 1 species